UAAAUAAAUAAAAUCUUAAAAAAGAAAGAAAGAAAGAAAGAAAGAACACUGCAGAGAUGCCUUAAACUUAGCCCUUUCUGUUUCCCUCUGGGAAGAGGAGAGAAGAUGUUCAGAUAACAUGAUGUAAGUUACAAAAACAUGACUGUGUUACUGCUUUUUCCCAACAUUUUCCACAUUAGGGAUUUUCAUUUCCCAACAGUGACAACAGAGUCAAAGGUAUGGAACGGAGGGUGAAGGAAAACGUGUCUUCUUCUUUUUUUUUUUUUUAAAGGAGUAAUUGUCUUCAUUAAAUCUCCCAGAUGCAUUGACAAGUUGAGUUAGUAGGAUCCCCACCAGGGACACUGUAUUCUUCUGUAUUCUUCCCAGAUUUAUAAUCUAGAUCUUUUUUAUUUUUUUCCCUUGUAUCCUUUUCCACUCCAGGCUUAUGCCCAUACCUUUAACUAGUGUUAAGAAUGUUGUUUAUCUCCAGUAAAGGUUUUUAGCUUUAUUAUCCUCUUGGUUAUCUAGAUUAGUGGUUUUUAACCUUGUCUAUACCCUAGAAUUGUAGAGCACUUUUAAACAACUACUGACAUCUGGGUAUACCUCUAGAGGUUGUUUUAGUUUAGGUGGGGCCCAGCCAUUGCUAUAAUUCAAAAUUCUCCCCAGUGAACCAGAUAUGAAGCCAGAGUUAGUAGUACUGACCCAGAGUUAUAAUCCACCUACACACUGGUUUGUAGUUCUGUGCAAGAACCAGUAGGUUAAUUUUUCAUAAGGUAUGAAAACCUGUCAGCCUGUAUCUUUUAAUGGUUAAACUUCGAUUACGUUUCCCCCUUACUCUAUAGUUCUAUUUGGCAGCCAUAGAAUUUUAGAACUGUAGUAUCCAUAGAGAUGAUCCCGCUUAAUUUUGUUACCUAAACCCCAGAGAGGAAAAAACCCUUUCCCACAAUCAGACAUCUUAUAAGUGAAGUACCAGGACUACAACUCCAGAUUCUUCAUGGAAAUGACCAUCUGAAUGGGCAAAGAAACCUAUCUGAAAAAGAGGAAAAAACUGCAAAAAGAGCUCCGAGACAGCAUACGAGCAGACAUCUGACCUGUGGUACAAAACCAAUUACACAAGUGAGUCUGUUUGUUACCCAGAAAAUUAGCUCUUUGGAAACAUCUGAUUGCAGACACUGUGUCUCCAGGACUCUCUACAAGCUGACACAGAGGCUUUAAAGGGCAACUAUACUCAGAGCCAAUUCGCUUAAUUUCAUACAAUAUAUUUUGGGAUUAAGGUUUAAAAUAGUUGGCCAGUGACAUUCAAGAGUACAAAAUCAAUUUUCAAUGUAUUAUAACUUUUACUGGGUAAUCACACUUCCAUUAAGUUUAUAGGGUGUUUAUUUCCAUUUCAGAGACAUGAAUUCCUAAUAUUAUUUCUAGAUGAUCUAUAAAUAACUCUAGAUAUGCUUGCCAGUGCGUUGCUUUGCUUUUGAUGGCAUAAGAUGGAAAACAUAAAUAACAAAGUAUUCCAUUUUCUUAGCCAGAGGAAAGAAUUCUUUUUUUAAUCCAGAAAAUUGUGUAUUACUUUGGAAGCUACAUGCAAAUCAGGUUAUUUAGACACAAUAUCAAAAGGAAAGGUGGUCUCCUAGGGAACUGUUUGCAGUUUAAAUGUUCGGUAUGUUCCUUCUUCAAUUAAAGUGCAGUACAGUAAAGGGACACAUCCCUUGAGUCACCCCUGGUGUUAGAAGUCAUUAGCUUUCCCAAAACCCUAGAAACAGUCUGAGUGGAAACUUUUUGUUGAGGCAGGUAAAAUCUUGGAGGGUAAAUAAAUUUCAGAUUUUAAGAUUCACCAUACAAAUCACAUUUGGGCGGUAAUAUGUUUAAUUUAAUGGUAAGGAAUUCUGUCAAGGGUCAACUUGCUGCCCCAAAAUGAUUUAAGGAAGUCAAUGGAAACUUUAGAAUGAAAAGGUCAGUGAUUGAAGUUAGCUAUUCCAAAUGGCCUUUCUACAAAAACACUUUCUUUUCCAAUACCAAACUUUCUUGAAUAGGCCCAUUCACUAAACUAAAUAAAUGUUGAUAAAUAAUUUGAUAGUCAACUUAACUUUACACCAGUACGAUCCAAUAGAACAUUUGUUUUGCUUUGUGUUUUGGCCUCUCACAAAAUACACUUGGGAAAAGGUUGCCCUAAAUGUAUCAGCUAACAUUCAGCCUAUGCCAUGACUCACUCUGAUCUUACUGUUGGUAACUCUACAACAAAAGCACUCCUUUCCCCGGGAUUUAAAUGUAUUUUUAAAAGUUCCUCAAAAUUUAAGAGUAGUUUGGAGUUCCUUUUUGGAUACCUUAUAUGCAGUCAGGAACCCAGAAUUUCCUCUGAAAUGAUUAUAUAUAUUAACUUCUCUCCAUUCUCUCAGCCUCCAGAGCAAACAGAAACGGCUCUAACAGUCUCAUGCUUCAUCUCCCUACCCCAAUUUCUGUACAGCUCAAUGUCUAAACUAAUCUUGGAGGACACUAGCAGGAGCUACAUCUUCCCAUCAUAUACCUUAUACCGGCAAUGUACUUUCAGCAAAGCAGCAUCAUCCACUGUUUUAAAUUAACAGUUUAUUUUUAUGUUACUGCUUUACAAUCUGCUUUAUAUUAACAUACAGACGCGUGUCCAUUUUGUAUUUGUGUAGAGCUACAAAUACAAAAAGUUUCAUCCCUGUUUUUGUUUAUUCAUUAUUUAAUAUCCAUGAUAAUUUUUUUUUGUCUUUCAUGGAAGUUUCUGGAAGUAUCUUUCAUGUAAAUGCCAGAAACACACUUGGGCAAUAUCUGGCUUUCAUAUACUGUUUUGUGGAAGACCUUGGUACUUAAAAUUGUGGCUUUAUCUAAACAAAACUUUCAAACAGUGGUUUCGGAUGGAGAUUCAGCUGCAUGUCUGACCUUCCCUGAGCACUAGAGAAGCUCUUCUUCACACCACUGCAUUUC